rnacentral:rRNA from 1 species
AUGGAUAAUAAUCGGGCAUAAACAUAUUACCGAAGCUAUGGAUUUGACAUUAAGUUGUCAAGUGGUAGGGGAGCAUUCUAACAGGGUAGAAGGUGUGUUGUAAAGCAUGCUGGACUGGUUAGAAAAGAAAAUGUAGGCAUAAGUAACGAUAAUGCGGGCGAGAAACCCGCACACCGAAAGACUAAGGUUUCCACAGCUAUGCUAAUCAGCUGUGGGUUAGUCGGGACCUAAGGCGAACCCGAAAGGGACAGUCGAUGGACAACGGGUUAAUAUUCCCGUACUACUAAUUACUGUGAUGGGGUGACGGAGUGAUGAAAGCGCCGCGAACUGACGGAAUAGUUCGUUGAAGUACCUACCUAUAAGCUGCGCAGGCAAAUCCACGCGGCUUGGGGAAAUACGAUAGUACUCGGAGUCUUCGGACAAAGAGAUAGUGCGCCUAAGGGCUUCCAAGAAAAACCUCUAAACUUCAGGUAAUUAGUACCCGUACCGCAAACCGACACAGGUAGUCGAGGAGAGAAUCCUAAGGUGCUCGAGAGAUUCAUGGCUAAGGAAUUAGGCAAAAUAGACCCGUAACUUCGGGAGAAGGGUCGCCAGCAGCAAUGCUGGCCGCAGUGAAGAGGUCCAGGCGACUGUUUAUCAAAAACACAGGGCUCUGCAAAAUCGUAAGAUGAAGUAUAGGGCCUGACACCUGCCCGGUGCUGGAAGGUUAAGAGGAGAUGUUAUCUUCGGAGAAGCAUUGAAUUGAAGCCCCAGUAAACGGCGGCCGUAACUAUAACGGUCCUAAGGUAGCGAAAUUCCUUGUCGGGUAAGUUCCGACCUGCACGAAUGGUGUAACGAUCUGGACACUGUCUCAGCCAUGAGCUCGGUGAAAUUGUAGUAACGGUGAAGAUGCCGUUUACCCGCAGUGGGACGAAAAGACCCUGUGCACCUUUACUAUAGCUUAGUAUUGACUUUGGAUAAAUGAUGUGUAGGAUAGGUUGGAGACUGUGAAGUGGCGUCGCUAGGCGUUGUGGAGUCAUUGUUGAAAUACAACCCUUUGUUUAUCUGAAGCCUAACCCCGUUUUGCGGGGGACAUUGCUUGGUGGGUAGUUUGACUGGGGUGGUCGCCUCCAAAAGAGUAACGGAGGCUUCUAAAGGUUCCCUCAGUACGCUUGGUAACCGUGCGUAGAGUGCAAUGGCAUAAGGGAGCUUGACUGAGAGACAUACAGGUCGAUCAGGUACGAAAGUAGAGCAUAGUGAUCCGGUGGUUCCGCAUGGAAGGGCCAUCGCUCAAAGGAUAAAAGGCACGCCGGGGAUAACAGGCUGAUCUCCC